rnacentral:rRNA from 1 species
GACAGAGGGUGCGAACGUUGUUCGGAAUUACUGGGCGUAAAGCGCGUGUAGGCGGCAGCGUAAGUCGGGCGUGAAAUCCCACGGCUCAACCGUGGAAGUGCACUCGAAACUGCGCAGCUAGAGUCCUGGAGAGGAAGGUGGAAUGCUUGGUGUAGAGGUGAAAUUCGUAGAUAUCAAGCGGAACACCGGUGGCGAAGGCGGCCUUCUGGACAGUGACUGACGCUGAGACGCGAAAGCGUGGGGAGCAAACGGG